AUUGAACGCUGGCGGCAUGCCUUACACAUGCAAGUCGAACGGCAGCACGGGAGCAAUCCUGGUGGCGAGUGGCGAACGGGUGAGUAAUAUAUCGGAACGUGCCCAGUCGUGGGGGAUAACGUAGCGAAAGUUACGCUAAUACCGCAUACGAUCUAAGGAUGAAAGCGGGGGAUCGCAAGACCUCGCGCGAUUGGAGCGGCCGAUAUCAGAUUAGGUAGUUGGUGAGGUAAAGGCUCACCAAGCCAACGAUCUGUAGCUGGUCUGAGAGGACGACCAGCCACACUGGAACUGAGACACGGUCCAGACUCCUACGGAGGCAGCAGUGGGAAUUUUGGACAAUGGGCGGCAAGCCCUGAUCCAGCAAUGCCGCGUGCAGGG
rnacentral:rRNA from 1 species